ACAUUGUAACUGGCUAAUGAGCAAGAAAUUGUUGCAAGGAAGAUGUCUUUAGAAGGUGAUUAGGCCAUGAGGGCUCUGCCCUCUGGAUUUGUGCAUUAUUUCGGAGGCCGAGGUGGGCAGAUCACCUGAGGUCAGGAGUUUAAGACCAGCCUGGCCAACAUGGUAAAACCCCAUCUCUAUUAAAGUAAUAAAAUUUUAGGGUUCUCCAAAGAAACAGAACCAAUAGGAUAUGUUAUGAGGUUAUCACAAGUUUACUGAACUUUAAGCAGUAAGUCUCCCACAGCAUCUAACAGAAUAUCUCAUACAUAUAGCAAACCCUCCAUAUGUGUUAAAUUAUCAAAAUAAAAUUUCAAAACCUAAUGCCAUUUUCCUAUCACUUGAUACCACUUCCUAUAAUUUAAUAUUCACUCACAUUUAAAACAAUAACAGCAAUAACACAAUUUAUAAAUAUCCUUGGAGCUACAUUAAAAGCCACUUACAUUCUAUUACAACAUCCAAUGAUUAUUGAAUAGCCAAAGGUGCCUAACAGAUUAAGUUGUUAUAAUUAUAGAAGGCAAGUAUCUUGCAACUGAUUACAUUAAUUUCUAUUUCCCAGUGCUGCUCUUUUCCAAAAUAUUUCUGGGAAAUCUUAAAUAGCUUUUCUCUUCUUGCCUGAAUAUGUAAAAUUAUUUCUAAUACUUUUAAUCCUGAGGAUUUAUAACCAAACAUUUUGAUCCUUUUUAACAUAGAAACAUGUGGCUUUAAAUUCACAAUUUGUCAGCAGAGUGUUCAUAAUGAAACUUCUCACAAAUUUGUAAAAGAAGGCGCUAAUGUAAACAUAUUAGUUGUCAGGUCAGAUUAGUAGCUCUGGUUGUUACGAAUAAUACAGUAGGUUAAGCAAUCCUAAAAUAAAUAUACUUCUAAAUUUUGAACAUUUUUCCUCUUCCUUUCACAGAUUUUCAUAAUUUGUUCACUGGUGUAUGGCUCCUACUACUACUGCCCAAGAUAUUUCACAUUUAGUCUUCAUCAAGAUGAAAUUUAGAUUUUUCAAAAACAAUGACCAGUAUAUGUUUUUGAUCUAAUUUACCAAAUGAUUAUACACUAAUUUGAUAGUGGAGAUGAUACAUGAGUAAAAUAUUGUUAAAAUACAAUGUAUAGAAUAGAUGUGUUUAUAAUUAAAAUCUUUUUUUUUUUUUGAGGUGGAGUUUCACUCUUGUUGCCCAGGCUGGAGUGCAAUGGUGCAAGCUCGGCUCACUGCAACCU
rnacentral:lncRNA from 1 species